rnacentral:lncRNA from 1 species
UUACUUUCAAUCAUUUUAACAUACAGAAAACUCACUCAAGGUAUUCAUCGUAGAACAGGCAUCAUUACUCGAGGAGUGGAAUAGGAAUUCGGAUUCCCUGCAAUAAAAGGAUCCCGCAUUCACGCGGCUGUGGACGUUAGUGGCCGUUCGAUCAAGAUUGGAUGGUCCAAAAUAGUGCAGAUUUUAAUUUUAAAAUUCAAAUCACUAAGUUUAAGUUUGGACCAUCUAAUCUUGAUUGAAAGGUCACUGAUGUCCCGACUGCAUCAAUGUGAAAAAUCUUGACUGUAGGGGAGCCGGAUCCGUGGAAUAGUGAAUAUGAGCAAAUAAAUUAUUUUGGAUACAAACCAUGUGAGAGACUACCAAACUAAACCCUUUCUUCUCCUAAACCUAUCAACAUGAUCUGUGCUCAUUCGAGAUUUUUCUGGUUUGUCUGGUUUUUUAGACUUUUUAAGACGGCUAUCUAAACUGUUUCUAGAAGCUUCAGGAAUUUCUUUACUCAAUUCAGAAGUACUAGAAGUGCCAGUUUCUGAUUCUUUGCUAGAUUUGUUACCUUCAUUCUCAGUUUCUACAGUUUCCUUUUCAGAACCAUUUGCAGUUGCUGCUUUAGGUUUUCCAAUUGUCUGUACAAAUUUCUUUAGGUGUUUAAUGAACUCCGGGUAAAGCUCAAGAUUACAAUGUCCACCACCACUUACCCACAAGGGUUCAUACUUUUCCUUGCAAAGUUCCCAGAGCUGUUUUCCAUGAGACACAUCUACAACUUCAUCUGCUGUCCCCUGGCAUCGGACAAAAAAAUAUUAUUAUUACUACAAUAUACGAAAUUCAGAACGAAAGAGACAAUAAAUAAAUAGUAAAUAGGUUAUUUAUGUUUUUUGUUUCCCGACUUAUACUAAUCUUCGGUUUGACUCCUAAAAUAAAAAAAAAAAAGUAUCUUUUUCAUACCCCCAAUGUCCUGAAAUGUGCUGAAUUCGUCCUCAUAUUUAUAGUCCCUAUAAUAUGAUAUUUUUUAAUAUCAUUUUGAUCCUUGCAGUAUAUCCUUUUUUCAUUUUAGUCACUAUCAUACAGAAGCUAAUUGAACAUAAAUCAAAUAUUACAGAGAAAGCAAAUAAAAAUGAUAUUAUAUGAGGAGUAAAACAAAUCAACAAUGACCAAUUGUAGCAUAUUUGAGGACAAUGAGAACAUAGAAGAUUGUUUUCUUGAAGAACAAAAACUGAACAUUACCAUAAGCUGGUGACUAAACAUAAUUAACCCAUAAAAAUUUAUAAUCAUGGCAACAAAGUUUGAAUCCCCACAAGAAGAAUGUAUGGUCUAGUGCUUCCUCCCUCCCCCAAAAUAAAUAAUAAUAUUUCCCUCGAGUCCCGUGGAGCCUAGCUUAGUGGUACCUAUCUAGCUUUGUAAUCGACUGGGAAUGUAGGGCCAAGUGCCUCUUCUUCCCCCAAUGGUCUUCUUUUUAUGAAACAUCUUCCUCAAUGGUCUCAAUGAUAGCAGCAGAAGUUUUUUUUUUUUUUUCAACUUUCAUACAUUGGCAAUAAAAGGUUUACUCAUAAUGUAGAUCUCUUCAUACUAUGGAUUAAAUCCAUCAAUAGGUAUAACUCAACUAAGUAUGUUCUUGCAUUAAGAAUUCCUAUCGACAUACAAAAUCAUGGAUUUGAGGGGGGAACCUCGGUGCAUGUUCGGAAAUCCGUUAGAAAGAACUCAAAUCUAUGCUUGACCAAAUCCAAUGGAUUUCCAAAAACACUAUUAACUGACAGCUGAAGCCUGAAAGAAUAUUAGAUAAACCAACAACAAAGGCAGCAAAGAUGCACGUGUAGCCACAAAAGAACACAUUACAUAUUUAUGGGGGAGGGAGAGGGGGAGAGAGAGAGAGAGAGAGAGAGAGAGAGAGAGAGANNNNNNNNNNNNNNNNNNNNNNNNNNNNNNNNNNNNNNNNNNNNNUUUAUGGGGGAGGGAGAGGGGGAGAGAGAGAGAGAGAGAGAGAGAGAGAGAGAGAGUCACUUACAUGGAUAACCAAAACAGGACAUUUGACCAGACCAAUUUUAUCAAUAUUCUGAAAAGAAGGUAAAAUGAACACCAUAAGUCACGAAGUAUUGAGUGAAGCAUAUUGAAAUACAAUCUGUAAGAAAUUUUACCUUAUAAAUAUCAAACCAAUAUGUUCGUUUUACAGGGUAUAGUACUCUAAGCCCUGACAAAAUUGGACUAUGCAACACAACGCCUCUCAAUUCUGAUAUCCUUGAAGCAAGAUCAAGUGUAGGACCACUACCAACAGAUUGACCAUACAAUAUCAAUUGUUCAUCUUUUACCCCAUAUUUCUCCUUCAGGCAUUUAUAUGCAGCUUCAAUAUCUGCGUAUGUAUUAUAUUCAGUUGGCUGUUUCAACAGAAAAAAGGAUGACUGUCAAGGUACAAGCAAUGUCACUCUGAAAGAACCAUCGAGAACAACAUAAUAAGUAUUUAAAAUAUUUGUAGCUCAUUUACAAAUGAAAAAAGAAAAUAAAAAUGAUCUCAGUGGAGAUUAACUUAGCCAUUGGCUUAUAUAAUAACACAACUGAAAACAUUGCUAAUGCACGUAAAUUCAUGAUGUCACAUUGUCGGUGGUUAUUAAUGCAAUAUAUAUGAUUUGAAUAAUUAUGCAUUGAACCCCGACAAAUCUAUGUCAGCUAAUAAUACUUUGUCAGUGGUAACAGUAACACUUGGCAACAACCUGCCAGAUUACCAAAACAUACUUGCACAAUAUCUAGACCAAACUUAUUCAGAUGAACCGCAUAGCAUCCAUAAAAGAAUUAAGUUCAAAUUGAUUUUCUAAACCCAUGGCUAGGGCUAACAGCAUGAUUUAAUCAAAAACAGCUCACAGAUAGCAUAGCUCAAAAAAUUAACUUUACAUUGCUACAUUUUUCCUUCAAAUUUUGGUUUUUAUGCAUUCUAUUCUAUUCUCUUUUAUUUUGUUGUUUAUUACAUUGCAUUGGGCUAUAAGCUCAAUUCAUGUGUGCUAUUGUUUAUUGUUAUGUUUAUGGAGGUUUUAUUGUCAAAAAAAAAAUAGUAUUUAUGGAGUUUUCACAUUUGAUAUAUUAUUUGGUGUAUAUUAAUGAUUAUGCAUUAUGUGUGGUUGUAAUUAUGAAUAAUUUUAAAAUCAUGAGACUAUUGUAAGAUUAUAAGAAUAAAAAUGUAAAUUAUUUAUAAAAUCUCUCUCCUCCCCUAGUGAACCAAACGUGUAAUUAAAAUCCCUCCCCUCUCUUUCCUUCUUUUGAACCAAACAGGCAUGUUAUUAAAAGCCCUUCCCCUCUCCUCCCCUCCAUUAAAAUCCCUCCCAUCCCCUUCAUUUAACCAAACAGACCCUAAAUGACUGAUCGUGUCGACAAGCUACUUGCGGCCCGAAAAAUGCUAUUAGGGUUUGAAAAUUGGAUGCUUGAGUUUCUUCCCCAAAACAAAGGUUUCAAGCAGUGUAUCAACCUUAUGAAAAAAAACUCCGAGUUUUUUUUUUGAAAAGUAAUUUUGGGCAGAAAAAUAUUUUCACUUCUAACAAAUUAAUAACCAAUUGUUGGCCAUUGCAACCUUAAUAUUUUUUUUGAAAAGUAGUACUUUGCUAUUAGUUGCAUGACUUGAAGCCAUGUAGUCAAAACUACAAAGUAGUAAAAACAAACUUGAAGACAUAGUAUAGAAGGUUAUGCUGAAUGGAAGAUAAACGUGAAACGUUUCAAAACAGUGAAUAUACAUGACAACUUUGAAGAAUGGAUAGAAAUCUUAAUGCUUUUAGAAAAAAACUUAAUAGACUUGAUUGAGAGAGUCAUAGAGAAAAAUUCUAAAUAUAGGGCAAUACAUUUGGCUGAUGGGUUAUGUGGGUAUUAGGAUACUUGUUUGGUAAAUGUGAUUUUGAAUGAACUUAAUUUUCUAUACUAUGUAUUCUUGUUUGGUAAAUGUGAUUAUGAAUGAACUUAAUUUUCUAAAUUAUUUGGUUUAGGGUCAAAAAAAAUUAUUUGGUUAAAAUUGAAUUUGAAGUGAAUUUAUUUCUAUUUGAAUUGUUUUAAUCUAAAAUCAAGUUUGACAGGACACAAACACAAUUCUGAUACUCUCCACCAUAAAACCAAACACACUUAAGUUCUUUGCAAUCUACAAAUUUGGGCAAAUCGUGUAGCAAAUAGUUGAUAAAUUAAUUUGAAACAUUUUCUGGAAAAUAUAAGAUGUUACAUACUCCAACUGUUUACCUCUUCUUUCAUCGCCUAUUACUCUCUUUCCAACUUCUUCUCCUCCUUCACCUUUCCACUUAUUCCCCCUCUCCCAUCUCUAUAAUGAACUCUUGUUUCCCAGUAUGUCCGAUCCAAUUCUUCCAUACCUAUUCUUCUACCUCCCUCUGGUUUUGAAUAUAAGCAAAACAAAGUUUUAUAGGUUCAUUGAAUAAAGCAUGUAUUCGGACCAUAAAUAGUCUAGAUAAAUACUUUAUUCCAUGAACCUAGAAAACUUUUUUUUUUUUGCUCAUGUUCAAAACCGGAGGUUGUACUUCACAAGAGAUUUUUUCAAAAGUGGCUAAACUAAUACAGUUCACAUUAUUCUUGCAGUGGCCAAUUAGCAACUAGUUGAGGCGAAUAACACCUCCCUAUAUGGCUACCUUGUUGGAUAAAUAUAUAUUCAGCAACUUCCAAGCUUUGAAUCCAUUGAUACAUCAAUAUUUUGCAAGCUUCACAAAGCUUUAUAUGGACUCAAACAGGGCCUCGUGCCAGGUUCAACAAGCUCCC